AGUCAAGUAAUUAAGUGCAUGUGGUGGAUGCCUUGGCAGUCAGAGGCGAUGAAAGACGUGAUAGCCUGCGAAAAGCUCCGGGGAGGCGGCAAAUAUCCUUUGAUCCGGAGAUGUCUGAAUGGGGGAACCCACCUACUUUAAGGUAGGUAUUGCAACAUGAAUACAUAGUGUUGCAAGGCGAACGAGGGGAAGUGAAACAUCUCAGUACCCUUAGGAAAAGAAAUCAAUUGAGAUUCCCUCAGUAGCGGCGAGCGAACGGGGAUCAGCCCAUUAAGUUAUGUGUGUUUUAGUGGAACGCUCUGGGAAGUGCGAACGUAGAGGGUGAUAUUCCCGUACACGAAAGGGCACACAUAAUGAUGACGAGUAGGGCGAGGCACGUGAAACCUUGUCUGAAUAUGGGGGGGCCAUCCUCCAAGGCUAAAUACUCCUGACUGACCGAUAGUGAACCAGUACCGUGAGGGAAAGGCGAAAAGAACCCCUGUGAGGGGAGUGAAAUAGAUCCUGAAACCGCAUGCAUACAAGCAGUGGGAGCACCUUCGUGGUGUGACUGCGUACCUUUUGUAUAAUGGGUCAGCGACUUAUAUUCAGUAGCGAGGUUAACCGUAUAGGGGAGCCGUAGAGAAAUCGAGUCUUAAUAGGGCGUUUAGUUGCUGGGUAUAGACCCGAAACCAGGCGAUCUAUCCAUGAGCAGGUUGAAGGUUGGGUAACACUAACUGGAGGACCGAACCCACUGUCGUUGAAAAGCCAGGGGAUGACUUGUGGAUAGGGGUGAAAGGCUAAUCAAGCCUGGUGAUAGCUGGUUCUCCCCGAAAGCUAUUUAGGUAGCGCCUCGGACGAAUACCAUAGGGGGUAGAGCACUGUUUCGGCUAGGGGGUCAUCCCGACUUACCAAACCGAUGCAAACUCCGAAUACCUAUGAGUACUAUCCGGGAGACAGACUGCGGGUGCUAACGUCCGUAGUCAAGAGGAAAACAAUCCAGACCGCCAGCUAAGGCCCCAAAAUCAUAGUUAAGUGGGAAACGAUGUGGGAAGGCAUAGACAGCUAGGAGGUUGGCUUAGAAGCAGCCACCCUUUAAAGAAAGCGUAAUAGCUCACUAGUCGAGUCGGCCUGCGCGGAAGAUGUAACGGGGCUAAAACUAUGUGCCGAAGCUGCGGAUGUAUACUUUGUAUACGUGGUAGGGGAGCGUUCUGUAAGCCGAUGAAGGUGUGUUGAGAAGCAUGCUGGAGGUAUCAGAAGUGCGAAUGCUGACGUGAGUAACGACAAAACGGGUGAAAAACCCGUUCGCCGAAAGACCAAGGGUUCCAGUCCAACGUUAAUCGGGGCUGGGUGAGUCGACCCCUAAGGCGAGGCCGAAAGGCGUAGUCGAUGGGAAAAUGGUUAAUAUUCCAUUACUUCUGUGUAAUGCGAUGAGAGGACGGAGAAGGCUAAAUCAGCCUGGCGUUGGUUGUCCAGGUGAAAGGAUGUAGGCAUGUAUCUUAGGCAAAUCCGGGGUACUCUAUGCUGAGAUCUGAUAGCAAGCUGUACUUGUACAGCGAAGUGGUUGAUGCCAUGCUUCCAGGAAAAGUCUCUAAGCUUCAGUUACACAGGAAUCGUACCCGAAACCGACACAGGUGGUCAGGUCGAGUAGACCAAGGCGCUUGAGAGAACUCUGCUGAAGGAACUAGGCAAAAUGGUACCGUAACUUCGGGAGAAGGUACGCUGUUGUUGGUGAUGGAACUCGCUUCCUGAGCUGACGACAGCCGCAGAAACCAGGCCGCUGCAACUGUUUAUUAAAAACAUAGCACUCUGCAAACACGAAAGUGGACGUAUAGGGUGUGAUGCCUGCCCGGUGCUGGAAGGUUAAUUGAUGGGGUUAGCGUAAGCGAAGCUCUUGAUCGAAGCCCCAGUAAACGGCGGCCGUAACUAUAACGGUCCUAAGGUAGCGAAAUUCCUUGUCGGGUAAGUUCCGACCUGCACGAAUGGCAUAAUGAUGGCGGCGCUGUCUCCAGCAGAGGCUCAGUGAAAUCGAAAUCGCUGUGAAGAUGCAGUGUACCCGCGGCUAGACGGAAAGACCCCGUGAACCUUUACUGCAGCUUGACACUGAACUUUGACCUUACUUGUGUAGGAUAGGUGGGAGGCUUUGAAGCUGGAACGCUAGUUCCAGUGGAGCCGUCCUUGAAAUACCACCCUGGUAAUGUUGAGGUUCUAACUCUGUCCCGUGAUCCGGGACGAGGACCGUGUCUGGUGGGUAGUUUGACUGGGGCGGUCUCCUCCUAAAGAGUAACGGAGGAGUACGAAGGUGCGCUCAGCGUGGUCGGAAAUCACGCGUAGAGUAUAAAGGCAAAAGCGCGCUUAACUGCGAGACCCACAAGUCGAGCAGGUACGAAAGUAGGUCUUAGUGAUCCGGUGGUUCUGUAUGGAAGGGCCAUCGCUCAACGGAUAAAAGGUACUCUGGGGAUAACAGGCUGAUACCGCCCAAGAGUUCAUAUCGACGGCGGUGUUUGGCACCUCGAUGUCGGCUCAUCUCAUCCUGGGGCUGAAGCAGGUCCCAAGGGUAUGGCUGUUCGCCAUUUAAAGAGGUACGCGAGCUGGGUUUAGAACGUCGUGAGACAGUUCGGUCCCUAUCUACCGUGGGCGCUGGAAAUUUGAGAGGAUCUGCUCCUAGUACGAGAGGACCAGAGUGGACGAACCUCUGGUGUACCGGUUGUGACGCCAGUCGCAUCGCCGGGUAGCUAUGUUCGGAAGGGAUAACCGCUGAAAGCAUCUAAGCGGGAAGCCUACCUCAAGAUAAGAUUUCCCUAGGACUUUAUGUCCUCUAAAGAGCCGUUCGAGACUAGGACGUUGAUAGGUUGGAUGUGGAAGCAUAGUGAUAUGUGAAGCUGACCAAUACUAAUUGCUCGUGAGGCUUGACUAUACAACACCC
rnacentral:rRNA from 1 species